rnacentral:rRNA from 1 species
CUAUUACGUUAGCGGCGGACGGGUGAGUAACACGUGGGCAACCUGCCUGUAAGACUGGGAUAACUUCGGGAAACCGAAGCUAAUACCGGAUAGGAUCUUCUCCUUCAUGGGAGAUGAUUGAAAGAUGGUUUCGGCUAUCACUUACAGAUGGGCCCGCGGUGCAUUAGCUAGUUGGUGAGGUAACGGCUCACCAAGGCAACGAUGCAUAGCCGACCUGAGAGGGUGAUCGGCCACACUGGGACUGAGACACGGCCCAGACUCCUACGGGAGGCAGCAGUAGGGAAUCUUCCGCAAUGGACGAAAGUCUGACGGAGCAACGCCGCGUGAGUGAUGAAGGCUUUCGGGUCGUAAAACUCUAUUGUUAGGGAAGAACAAGUACGAGAGUAACUGCUCGUACCUUGACGGUACCUAACCAGAAAGCCACGGCUAACUACGUGCCAGCAGCCGCGGUACUACGUAGGUGGCAAGCG